rnacentral:tRNA from 1 species
GGGCGUGUGGCGUAGUCUGUAGCGCGUCCCUUAGCAUGGGAGGGUCUCCGUUUCGAUUCCGGACUCGUCCA